GUUAUUCUAAAACAGCAAGCAAGAGCCUGUCAACAGUAUUUUUGUAACAAUGUCUGUCUGAUUGUUUGCACACGUGUGCAUCCAUUUUCUGAUAAUUUACAAUUUUGCUUAUCUUUAGAAGUUUGAUCAACAAAUCAAAUAAGCAAAAAGAAAGUUUUGAGGCCUAAAAGAUGCAUCAGAUCCAAUUGCUCAUAUACAGGUGUAAAUCUUUAACACUGGACCCCGUGUACCAUACUUUGCUCACGCACAGUGUCAGAGGAAUUCUGCAAAGCAAAAAUUAUUUUGAGGAAGCAUCAGAUAAAGCAGGAAGAUUUUGUACAUGCUGACCACUCCUCUGUUCAUAGCCCACCUGAGGACAUGAUUUCCCCUGGGUGACCUUAUGCAAGACAUGAAUUGGCCACGUCUUUCAGACAGCAGGUGAGUUGUCAGUCUGAAAAUACAUACUGCCACUGCUACUAUUUCAAUCUCAUCUAAGGCUUCCUAGAAAGAUUCACAUCCCAGAAGAAUACCUGACACAGAUUCAUACCAUUGAAACACAAAUCAGAUCUUUCUAUAUUUAAUUGACAUAGACCUGAAUAACAGCAAAAGCCAGUUUACACUUGCAGUGUCUAGAAUACAAAAUUAACGUAACAUUUUUUUUCUUCAACAUAAAAGAAGAUGCCAUUCAGUGAAUCAUGAAUUUUUUUCAAUUUUACUCCAAGAUACUUUACUGCUAUGUUUUGUAUCA
rnacentral:lncRNA from 1 species